GAUGAACGCUGGCGGCGUGCUUAACACAUGCAAGUCGAACGAUGAAGCCCAGCUUGCUGGGUGGAUUAGUGGCGAACGGGUGAGUAACACGUGAGUAACCUGCCCUUAACUCUGGGAUAAGCCUGGGAAACUGGGUCUAAUACCGGAUAGGAGCGUCCACCGCAUGGUGGGUGUUGGAAAGAUUUAUCGGUUUUGGAUGGACUCGCGGCCUAUCAGCUUGUUGGUGAGGUAAUGGCUCACCAAGGCGACGACGGGUAGCCGGCCUGAGAGGGUGACCGGCCACACGGGAACGAGGACACGGCCCAGAUUCCUCGGGGGGGAAGCGGGGGGGAAUAUUGCACAAGGGGCGCAAGCGUGAUGCGGCGACGCCGGGUGGGGGAUGACGGCCUUGGGGUUGAAACCCUUUUUGGGUAGGAAAAAAGGGAAAGUGACGGUACCUGAAGAAGAAGCACCGGCUAACUACGU
rnacentral:rRNA from 1 species